rnacentral:rRNA from 1 species
AGUUUGAUCAUGGCUCAGGACGAACGCUGGCGGCGUGCUUAACACAUGCAAGUCGAACGAUGAAGCCCUUCGGGGUGGAUUAGUGGCGAACGGGUGAGUAACACGUGGGCAAUCUGCCCUUCACUCUGGGACAAGCCCUGGAAACGGGGUCUAAUACCGGAUACCACUCCUGCCUGCAUGGGCGGGGGUUGAAAGCUCCGGCGGUGAAGGAUGAGCCCGCGGCCUAUCAGCUUGUUGGUGGGGUAAUGGCCCACCAAGGCGACGACGGGUAGCCGGCCUGAGAGGGCGACCGGCCACACUGGGACUGAGACACGGCCCAGACUCCUACGGGAGGCAGCAGUGGGGAAUAUUGCACAAUGGGCGAAAGCCUGAUGCAGCGACGCCGCGUGAGGGAUGACGGCCUUCGGGUUGUAAACCUCUUUCAGCAGGGAAGAAGCGA